rnacentral:rRNA from 1 species
UACGGGGGGAGCAAGCGUUGUUCGGAUUUACUGGGCGUAAAGGGCGCGUAGGCGGCCAGCACACGUCAGUUGUGAAAUCUCCGAGCUUAACUCGGAAAGGUCAACUGAUACUGUGCGGCUAGAGUGCGGAAGGGGCAACUGGAAUUCUUGGUGUAGCGGUGAAAUGCGUAGAUAUCAAGAGGAACACCUGCGGCGAAGGCGGGUUGCUGGGCCGACACUGACGCUGAGGCGCGAAAGCUAGGGGAGCGAACGGG